rnacentral:rRNA from 1 species
CCCUUAGAUGUUCUGGGCGGCCCGCGCACUACAAUGGCGUGUGCAGCGAGUGCCGAAGUAGAGUUUUCCGAGGUAUUCUUGCAAUGCUCGUUUUGAUGGGGAUAGACCCUUGCAACUGUUGGUUUUGAACGAGGAAUUCCUUGUAAGCAUGGUUUAUCAUCCGACGCUGAAUGCGUCCCUGCCCUUUGUACACACCGCCCGUCGCUCCUACCGAUGAGUCGUCCGGUGAAGUUCACAGAGUGGCGGUUCGUGGAGUUGCUCGCGAAGUGAAAUGGACCUCACGAUUUAGAGGAAGGAGAAGUCGUAACA